GAGCCAGACCGCAGCCGGAGCAUCACCCAUGGAGCACGACGCUCCGGCUGCGGUCCGACUCGC
ensembl:miRNA